UUCCAGACUCCUACGGGAGGCAGCAGUGGGGAAUAUUGGACAAUGGGGGGAACCCUGAUGCAGCGACGCCGCGUGGGUGAAGAAGCGCCUCGGCGCGUAAAGCCCUGUCAGCAGGGAAGAAAAUGACGGUACCUGAAGAAGAAGCCCCGGCUAACUACGUGCCAGCAGCCGCGGUAAUACGUAGGGGGCAAGCGUUAUCCGGAUUUACUGGGUGUAAAGGGAGCGUAGACGGCAAUGCAAGCCAGAUGUGAAAGCCCGGGGCUCAACCCCGGGACUGCAUUUGGAACUGUGUAGCUGGAGUGUCGGAGAGGCAGGCGGAAUUCCUAGUGUAGCGGUGAAAUGCGUAGAUAUCAGGAGGAACACCGGUGGCGAAGGCGGCCUGCUGGACUGCGACUGACGUUGAGGCCCGAAAGCGUGGGGAGCAAACAGGAUUAGAUACCCCUGUA
rnacentral:rRNA from 1 species